rnacentral:RNase_P_RNA from 1 species
CUGGCACGGUAAGCGGUCACUUUUGCAUCUUGCAAAAGAGGAAAGUCCGAGCUGCGAUAAGACAAAGUUCCAUCUAACGGAUGGCUAGGGAAACCUAAGGGAUAGUGUAACAGAAAGCAAACUUCCGCCUUGGCGGUAAAGGUGAAACGGCGGGGUAAGAGCCCACCGGCACGCUUGGUAACUUGCGUGGCCAUAUAAACCCAACUUGCAGUAAGAAGGGAUGGUUUUGGUCUUAUAUUAAAACCCUUCGCUAGAGCUUGUUUGUAAAAGCAAGCGUAGAUAAAUGAUCGCUCAAGACAGAACUCGGCUUAACGCCGUGCCUCCCUU